rnacentral:tRNA from 1 species
AUGGGCGUAGCUCAACUGGAAGAGCAGCGGUCUCCAAAGCCGCGUGUUGGAGGUUCGAGUCCUCCCGCCUGUGCAA